rnacentral:rRNA from 1 species
AGCAGCCGCGGUAAUUCCAGCUCCAAUAGCGUAUAUUAAAGUUGUUGCAGUUAAAAAGCUCGUAGUUGAAUUUCGGGAUUGACACAUCGGUCGUGCCUUAAGGGGUAUGAACUGGUGUAGUCAAUUUCUCACCUUCUGGAGAACCGCGAUGCCCAUAAUUGGGUGUCACGGGGAACCAGGACCUUUACUUCGAAAAAAUUAGAGUGUUUAAAGCAGGCACUUUGCUUGAAUACAUUAGCAUGGAAUAAUAAAAUAGGACGGCAUGAUUCUAUUUUGUUGGUUUCUAGGAUCACCGUAAUGAUUAAUAGGGAUAGUUGGGGGCAUUAGUAUUCAAUUGUCAGAGGUGAAAUUCUUGGAUUUAUUGAAGACUAACUACUGCGAAAGCAUUUGCCAAGGAUGUUUUCAUUAAUCAAGAACGAAAGUUAGGGGAUCGAAGACGAUCAGAUACCGUCGUAGUCUUAACCAUAAACUAUGCCGACUAGGAAUCAGACGAUGUUAAUUUUUUAAUGACUCG